rnacentral:tRNA from 1 species
GUGCUGGGUCUCAGUGGUAGAGUGCUUACCUAGCACAUGUGAGGCCCUGGGUUCAAUCCUCAGUACCACA